AACACAUGCAAGUCGAACGCGAAAGGGACUUCGGUCCUGAGUAAAGUGGCGCACGGGUGAGUAACGCGUAGAUAACCUGUCUUCAUGUCUGGAAUAAUACGCCGAAAGGGGUACUAAUACCGGAUAUUCUUGCUUUUCAUAAGUUAUGCAAGCAAAGGUGGCCUCUGCAUAUGCUACUGCAUGAAGAGGGGUCUGCGUACCAUUAGCUAGUAGGUGGGGUAAUGGCCUACCUAGGCGACGAUGGUUAGCGGGUCUGAGAGGAUGAUCCGCCACACUGGCACUGGAACAUGGGCCAGACUCCUACGGGAGGCAGCAGCGAGGAAUAUUGCGCAAUGGGGGAAACCCUGACGCAGCGACGCCGCGUGAGUGAGGAAGGCCUUCGGGUCGUAAAGCUCUGUCAAGAGGAAAGAAGUGUACAAUGGCUAAUACCUGUUGUAUUUGACGGUACCUCUAAAGGAAGCACCGGCUAACUCCGUGCCAGCCGCCGC
rnacentral:rRNA from 1 species